GAUGAACGCUGGCGGCGUGCCUAAUACAUGCAAGUCGAGCGAACGGACGAGAAGCUUGCUUCUCUGAUGUUAGCGGCGGACGGGUGAGUAACACGUGGAUAACCUACCUAUAAGACUGGGAUAACUUCGGGAAACCGGAGCUAAUACCGGAUGAUAUUUUGAACCGCAUGGUUCAAAAGUGAAAGACGGUCUUGCUGUCACUUAUAGAUGGAUCCGCGCUGCAUUAGCUAGUUGGUAAGGUAACGGCUUACCAAGGCAACGAUGCAUAGCCGACCUGAGAGGGUGAUCGGCCACACUGGAGCUGACACACGGUCCAGACUCCUACGGGAGGCAGCAGUAGUGAAUGUGCCGCAAUGGGCGAAAGCCUGACGGAGCAACGCCGCGUGAGGGAGGAAGGUCUUCGGAUCGUAAAACUCUGUUAGUAAGGAAGAACAUAUGUGUAAGGAACUGUGCACAUCUUGACGGUACCGAAUCAGAAAGCCACGUCUAUCUACG
rnacentral:rRNA from 1 species